UACGAAGGGGGCUAGCGUUGUUCGGAAUUACUGGGCGUAAAGGGCGCGUAGGCGGUACUUCAAGUCAGGCGUGAAAGCCCCGGGCUCAACCUGGGAACCGCGCUUGAGACUGGAGAACUAGAGUUCGGGAGAGGAUGGUGGAAUUCCCAGUGUAGAGGUGAGAUUCGUAGAUAUUGGGAAGAACACCGAUGGCGAAGGCAGCCAUCUGGACCGACACUGACGCUGAGGCGCGAAAGCGUGGGGAGCAAACAGG
rnacentral:rRNA from 1 species